rnacentral:rRNA from 1 species
UAGCAAAGCCAAGUAAAUCUAAUUUUUAAGAAUUAUUCAAUAAAGGUACAGCUUUAUUGAAAAAGGAAACAACCUAAACCUUAGGAUAAUGAAUAUUUUUAAAUAGGUAAAAGGCCAAGUUGGCCUAAAAGCAGCCAUCUUUAAAGAUAGCGUCAAAGCUUCACCUUAAACACACCUUAAAUCUCAUUAUUUUUUCAUAAUCCAACAAUUCUACUAAGCCAUUCUAUACUUUUAUAGAAAAGUUUAUGUUAGGACUAGUAACACAGAAUAAUUUCUCUUACAUGUAAGUUUAAAUCAACCCGAAUACCUCCUUGAUAAUUACUCAAAUUUGAACCUUAAGUAGUACCUAUUAAUUACAAAAACCCUACUUAACUUAUUGUUAAUCAAACAUAUGGAUAUGAAAGAAAGAUUAAAAAAUUAAGAAGGAACUCGGCAAACACAAGUCCCGCCUGUUUACCAAAAACAUCGCCUUUUGAAAAGUAUAAAAGGUAACGCCUGCCCACUGACAGUAUGUUUAACGGCCGCGGUAUUCUGACCGUGCGAAGGUAGCGUAAUCACUUGUCUUUUAAAUGAAGACUCGUAUGAAAGGCAUCACGAGAACUUAGCUGUCUCCUUAAUUCAAUCAGUGAAACUGAUACCCCUGUAAAAAAGCAGGGAUGAUUACAUAAGACGAGAAGACCCUGUGGAGCUUAAAACAUAAGCUACUUCUAUACUCUACUAACUUAUAGUACUAAAAUACAAACCUAGCCUAAGUUUUCUGUUGGGGCGGCUGUGGAGAAAAACUUAUCCUCCAUGAAGAAAAAACUUUGAUCUACCGCUCUUAGUAUUAGCAAGCCUAACUUAAAUUGAUCCAAUUUUUGAUCAACGGACCAAGUUACCCCAGGGAUAACAGCGCAAUCCUUUUCAAGAGUCCCUAUCGACAAAUGGGUUUACGACUUCGAUGUUGGAUUAGGACAUCCUAGUGGUGUAGCCGCUACUA